GUCCGGGCCGGGUGAGUUUUCCCGUGUUGGACACUAUGAGGAUUGACAGAUUGAGAGCUCUUUCUUGAUAUAGUGGGUGGUGGUGCAUGGCCGUUCUUAGUUGGUGGAGCGAUUUGUCUGGUUAAUUCCGAUAACGAACGAGACUUUGGCCUGCUAACUAGUAAGCCUGUCCUUUGUUCUCGCGCGGGUGGCGGUAACUGUUGCCUUUCGGGGUGAUGGUGCCGUGCGCCGGCGAGGGCUGCGCAGGUAUAUACUUCUUAGAGGGACAAGCGGAAU
rnacentral:rRNA from 1 species